rnacentral:rRNA from 1 species
AGUGAACGCUGGCGGUAGGCCUAACACAUGCAAGUCGAACGGCAGCACAGUAAGAGCUUGCUCUUACGGGUGGCGAGUGGCGGACGAGUGAGGAAUACAUCGGAAUCUACUUUUUCGUGGGGGAUAACGUAGGGAAACUUACGCUAAUACCGCAUACGACCUGCGGGUGAAAGCAGGGGAUCUUCGGACCUUGCGCGAUUGAAUGAGCCGAUGUCGGAUUAGCUAGUUGGCGGGGUAAAGGCCCACCAAGGCGACGAUCCGUAGCUGGUCUGAGAGGAUGAUCAGCCACACUGGAACUGAGACACGGUCCAGACUCCUACGGGAGGCAGCAGUGGGGAAUAUUGGACAAUGGGCGCAAGCCUGAUCCAGCCAUACCGCGUGGGUGAAGAAGGCCUUCGGGUUGUAAAGCCCUUUUGUUGGGAAAGAAAAGCAGCAGGUUAAUACCCCGCUGUUCUGACGGUACCCAAAGAAUAAGCACCGGCUAACUUCGUG